CAGCCGCCACGGGAAUACGAAGGGUGCAAGCGUUACUCGGAAUUACUGGGCGUAAAGCGUGCGUAGGUGGUGGUUUAAGUCCGUUGUGAAAGCCCUGGGCUCAACCUGGGAAUUGCAGUGGAUACUGGGUCACUAGAGUGUGGUAGAGGAUAGUGGAAUUUCCGGUGUAGCAGUGAAAUGCGUAGAGAUCGGAGGGAACAUCUGUGGCGAAGGCGGCCAUCUGGGACAACACUGACGCUGAGGCACGAAAGCGUGGGGAGCAAACAGGAUUAGAUACCCCGGUAGUCCCUGUCUCUUAUAC
rnacentral:rRNA from 1 species